UGAUGAGCUUCCUGAGAUGAAACUUGGAAAUGGGCAAUCAACGUAUAUCGAUUUCCAUGCAACAGCAAGUAACGGAACAAUGAAGUUGUGGUCAGAAGUUCAAGAAAGCAAGUUUGCAUUGGAUAAAGGAUGGUUCAUUGAGAAGGUUAUAGUUUUAGGCACCAAUGGUACUGAUGGAGCUUUUGAAAUAAACGUCGAUGGACAACCGAUCGAAGAUGGUUCAAGAGUGAAGUAUAGCACAACAGAACACAAGUACAUAGACAGUAUGGAUGAUGAAGUUGAUAAGAGAAAGAGUAUGAUGAUGGAAAUUCAUGGACUGCAAUUGCCUUUAGGUAAGAAUUUUGUUAUGUCCUGGAAAAUGUGAACAAAAACUAGUUUCUACUAUGUGUGAGUAUUAGUACUUAGUAGGUUUUCAAGGUUAUUAAUGAAAAACGAGCAUACAGAUAAGCUAUGCGGCUCAGACUCUUUAAGAAUUCUA
rnacentral:misc_RNA from 1 species